GUAGGACCUCAUCACUUAUCCAUUCUAAAUGUAAUAAUUUGCAUCUACCAACCCCAAACUCCCUGUGCAUCCCACUCCCUCCUCCUUCCCCUUGGCAGCCACAGGUCUAGUCUCUAUAUAUGUGAGUCUGUAUUUAGUAUCUUGAUUGCGGUGAUAGUGUCACAGGUGCAGGCAUACGUCCAAACUCAUAAAAAUGUAUACAUUAAAUAUGUGCAGAUUUUUGUGUAUCAAUUUAUACAUCAAUUAAAAAAUAAAUAAGAUGAAGUUGGAUAGAUCACAUGGGGUCAAAUGGGUCAGGAAACUGCUGAAGCGUUUCAAACUAGAGAGUGACAAGACUCUAUUUUUUCGUUGUGAAAGGGCCACUAAGGUGGCAAUAUGAAUAGUGGACUAGAUGGAAGUAAGAAUGAAUACAGGAAAACUAAAUGAGAAGGUUAUUUCACAGUCCGAGUGGAAAACAGUGGAUCUCUAUCCCAAUUCGUUGGAACUCAAUUAGACGAAUAGGGGUAUCGCAUUGUUCUUUGGUCUGUUUCCAUCUAGGAAAUGUUUGUAUAGAUGUGGCUUCCCCUCCAGGACGUGACCAGAAGUCAUAGACGGGAGGAUGACUUGCAAAGUUAUUCUGAACACAUCAGUCUUUGUGCCUGUCAUGCUCAGGUCACUUUUGAGUUAGAGCCACCCAAACACCUGCUCUGAGAAGCACAGUGAGACAAUUCUUUGUUAAUGAUUACCUGAUUCAAGGUAACUCUUUUUAUAGACUGAUUCUUGAAGUGACCUAGUAUGUGAAUGGGGCAUUUGAUGCCCAAGAAGUGACACUCCCAGUAUAUCUCCCUUUGAGUAGUUCUUCUCAAUGGGAUCAAUUUUACUUCCCAGGAGAUAUUUUCAGUGUCAAGACAUUCUUGUUUGUUACAGCUUAGGAGCUGAGUCUACUAGUAUCUAGUAUAUAAAGGACGGGAAUACUACUAAACGAGCUGUAAUGUACAGGACAACCCCACAACAAAGAAUUGUUUGGCCCAAAAUAUUGAUAGUAUGGAGGUUGAGAAAUGCUUGACUUUCAGGAAAUAGAACCGAUCAAGACUUCCAUGUAUCAUAAAUGUGGCAGACAAAACACACUUCCUAGCUUAGUAAUGGAAAUGUGAUGAUUAAGAAAAGCAGUUGAGACACAGUCGAACAGUGUUAUCUGCAGUACCUUGGAUGUUUGUUCAACCUUGCAGUUGAUACACAGAUGAUAUGUAUAGCAUAUCCAAAUAAAUUACUUUCUAUUUUAUUUUAUUUUGUUUUAUUUUAUUUUAUUUUAUUUUUUGCUUUUUAGGGCUGCACCUGCAGCAAACAUAAGUUUCCAGGCUAGGGGUUGAAUUGGAGCUGCACCACAGCCACAGCAAUGCCAGAUCAGAGUCACGUCUGCGACCUAUACCACAGCUCACAGCAGCGCGGGAUCCUUACCCACUGAGUGGGGCCAGGAAUCAAAGCUGCAUCCUCAUGGAUACUAGUUGGGUUUGUUACUGCUGAGCCACAAAGGGAACUCCAAGUAAAUUAGAAUGAAUCCACAAAUGCAGGAUUUCAUGCACAAGACUCUAAAUGAAAUCAAAGUACACGUCUGAAGAACAAUUCUGUACCUCUUUAGAUGUUUCCAGGUGUCAGUACAGCAUUUAUGUAACCCAUUUAGAACACGGCACUUUGAGGGAAUCAUGAAGAUUUAAUUCUUUUGUGAAUUAUUUAGCAAAGUCAAGUCCUUUCUCUUAUGACCCAACAGAGUCAACCCAUCUCCUAAAACAUGGGUUUAUUAUUAUUUAGUUCAAUCUCCAGCUUCCUUGGUAGACUGAAAAAUAUCUCUCAUGGAGCUCUUUUGUGCCUCAGCAGGUUAAGGAUCUGGAGCUGUCACUUCAGCAGCUUGGGUCAUACUACUAUGGCGUGGGUUUGAUCCCGGGUCCAGGAACUUCCACAUGCUGUGGGUGAAGCUAAAGAAAAUAAAAGAAAAAUAAUAUUGUAAUUAUAUGUGGAGUUCCCAUUGUGGCUCAGUGGAUUAAGAACCUGACUAGUAUCCAUGAGGAUGAGGGUUCGAUCCCUGGCCUUGUUCCGUGGGUUAAGGAUCUGGCAUUGCUGCAAGCUGUGGUAUAGGUCACAGAUGUGGUUUGGAUCUGGCAUUGCUGUGGCUGUGGUUUAGGCCAGCAGCUGCAGCUCCAAUUCGACCCCUAGCCAGGGAACUUCCAUAUGCCAUGGGUGCAGCCCUAAAAAGAAAUGAAAAAUAUCUCUUAGGUAUUUCAUUGCACGGGCGUUCUGCCUAGAAGUCUGUCUCAAGUCAUCAUCUCUUCACUCUCCGAGGCUGACCUGCUAAAAGCAGAGGGUGGACAGCUCUGUGAAGUGAGAUGGGCAUAGGAUCUGCAACCAGACAUACUCAGGUUCAGACCUCAUCUCAGUCACUUUUAGAUCUGUGGUUCUGAAUAAACUCAAAUCUUUCUGAGCCUUAGUCUCAUGAUCUGCACAAUGUAGUUAACAUCUCUUCCUAAGCAUUUGAUCAUAAUUAAAUGAGAUAAAUAUAAAGUACAUAGGUCAUUUGUCUGUAGAGUUUUAAAUUAAUUAUAAUAUCUGGUCUGGAAUAUACAAAGUGAGAAAAGUAAAAUACAUAUUAUAACAAGAAGCAAUUUGACACGUGCACUAAUAAAUCACCUCAUAUAAACAUGCUAUUAGAUUGAAUAAGUAGAAAG
ensembl:lncRNA